rnacentral:rRNA from 1 species
AUACGGAGGGGGCUAGCGUUGUUCGGAAUUACUGGGCGUAAAGGGCACGUAGGCGGACCAGCCAGUCAGGCGUGAAAGCCCCGGGCUUAACCUGGGAACUGCGCUUGAUACUGCUGGUCUAGAGUCCGGGAGAGGGUAGUGGAAUUCCCAGUGUAGAGGUGAAAUUCGUAGAUAUUGGGAAGAACACCGGUGGCGAAGGCGGCUACCUGGACCGGUACUGACGCUAAGGUGCGAAAGCGUGGGGAGCAAACAGGAUUAGAAACCCCGGUAGUCC